rnacentral:rRNA from 1 species
AAUCUUCCGCAAUGGACGCAAGUCUGACGGAGCGACGCCGCGUGAGUGAUGAAGGUCNNNGGAACNUAAAACUCUGUUGUUAGNGAANAACAAGUAUCGAAGUAAUAUGUCGGUACCUUGACGGUACCUAACCAGAAAGCCCCGGCUAACUACGUGCCAGCAGCCGCGGUAAUACGUAGGGGGCAAGCGUUGUCCGGAAUUAUUGGGCGUAAAGGGCAUGCAGGCAGUUAUGUAAGGCUGAUGUGAAAUCUUGUAGCUUAACUACAAGCGGUAAUUGGAAACUGCGUAACUUGAGUACAGAAGAGGAGAGUGGAAUUCCACGUGUAGCGGUGAAAUGCGUAGAGAUGUGGAGGAACACCAGUGGCGAAGGCGGCUCUCUGGUCUGUAACUGACGCUGAGAUGCGAAAGCGUGGGUAGCGAGCA